UUCCAUUGAAAUUCCAAUGCAAUCCAGAGAUACCAUAAGACAAAUUAAAGACUACUUUGUUUUAUGGUAGAGCCUGAGGUUGACAAAAGGCAGAGUGCCGAUGUCAGGCUUUGUCUAAGGAGCAACAUGUGCUCUCGCAGUAUCCUAAAUAGACUUUAGUGUUGCACUCUUGCAUAUGUGCCAGAGUACAGGACUGACGCGUCUCCUGGAAACUGAAGCUCCAGGAACAGAGGAGGACCUGCAUCGUGAAGAUGGCAGUGGCCACGAUGGGCAGCCGGAGGUAAGAAAAACUCACUUCCCUGAAACCUGUGUUCACCGG